rnacentral:misc_RNA from 1 species
GUUGGUGAUGAGUAGAAAGAGAAUCCACUAUUCAACACAAACAAAAGUGGGUUAUUUUGGUUUAAUUUUCCCGAUAAACUUUCCCGCGAAAAUAAUCCCACAGAAUUUUCUAGACAAGACAACUCUAUGAAGGAAAAAAAAUCAAGUUGCAAACAGCAAAUAGGAUAAAAGACCUAUUUCAUCAUCCUCCCCUGUCUCUCUAUAUUGAUAUUUUCUGUCUGUUUCUACAAAAUACCGGGUGCUAUGAUGUCUGCU